ACGAACGCUGGCGGCGUGCUUAACCCAUGCCAGUCGAACGGAAAGGCCCUGCUUUUGUGGGGUGCUCGAGUGGCGAACGGGUGAGUAAUACGUGAGUAACCUGCCCUUGACUUUGGGAUAACUUCAGGAAACUGGGGCUAAUACCGGAUAGGAGCUCCUGCUGCAUGGUGGGGGUUGGAAAGUUUCGGCGGUUGGGGAUGGACUCGCGGCUUAUCAGCUUGUUGGUGGGGUAGUGGCUUACCAAGGCUUUGACGGGUAGCCGGCCUGAGAGGGUGACCGGCCACAUUGGGACUGAGAUACGGCCCAGACUCCUACGGGAGGCAGCAGUGGGGAAUAUUGCACAAUGGGCGGAAGCCUGAUGCAGCAACGCCGCGUGCGGGAUGACGGCCUUCGGGUUGUAAACCGCUUUCGCCUGUGACGAAGCGUGAGUGACGGUAAUGGGUAAAGAAGCACCGGCUAACUACGUG
rnacentral:rRNA from 1 species